GGGGGCGAAACGGUUUCGACAUGGGCCGAUCGCGGUCGGAGCAGCAAGCCGAGGUCCGGUGGCCUCGUUAAACUGCCGGAACACCAUAACUGCCGAGGAUCGUUCCCUGGCACUGGCUGCCUGAAUAAGGCGGCCCGUCACACCCGGUGAGUCCGCAGCCGGGACCGUGGCGUCGCUCAGCGGACUGGGGUCCGGUCGGCGUGUCCCGACCGGCCGGACCCGAGACUUCUCGGGGCUGGCGAUCCGCACCCGGCCGACGCGGGGACGGUGAGCGAGACGAAAAGCGCCGGCUAAGCUUGUAGAUACUCCGUCGCGGCACUCGUGGACGCGGGUUCGACUCCCGCCGCCUCCACCA
rnacentral:tmRNA from 1 species